UGGGGGAUAUUGCACAAUGGGCGAAAGCCUGAUGCAUCGACGCCGCGUGGGGGAUGCAGGCCUUCGGGUUGUAAACUUCUUUUGCUCUGAACAAGGCGCACCAUGGGGUGUGUUGAGUGUAGGGGUUGAUUAGCGCCGGCUACCUACGUGCCAUCAGCCGCGGUAAUACGUAGGGCGCGAGCGUUGUCCGGAAUUAUUGGGCGUAACGGGCUUGUAGGUGGCUGGUUGCGUCUGUCGUGAAAGCUCAUGGCUUAACUGUGGGUUUGCGGUGGGUACGGGCUGGCUUGAGUGCAGGAGGGGAGGCUGGAAUUCCUGGUGUAGCGGUGGAAUGCGCAGAUAUCAGGAGGAAUACCGGUGGCGAAGGCGGGUCUCUGGGCUGUUACUGACACUGAGGAGCGAAAGCAUGGGGAGCGAACAGG
rnacentral:rRNA from 1 species